ACUCGACAGUUAAGGGUGGCUUCUCGAAGUAUCAGGAGGACAUCGGAUAUAGGGAAUUAGCUAGUAUGUCAGAUAACUAGGAUGUAUGUAUACUAUGUAUACUAGAAGUAUAGGAAUAGAUUCUCUUUCUAUUUUGUUUCCACUUAGCUUACAUCCUAGCCACGCCUGACAUACGUACAUCUAUACAACCGGUAUAGAUGUAUAGAUAGAUAGAUUAGCAGAAGUGGAAAACGUGAGAACUCAUAAUUAAAAAGUACUAUUAGUAUAGGUAUAGAUAGAUAGAUUAGCACCAUACCAUUUCUGUCACGUUUUCCAUCCAUCUCCCUCAUUUUCCGUCUUCUUCCUUCUCUCUUCCUCAAGAAAUGGCACCACCCGCACCUGUUGUGACGGCAGCGGCAGACAUCCCCACCGGUGUGGCCGCCCUUGCCUCCGCCGGACGACGACAACCUCAUCCAGGAGAUCCUCCUCCACCUCCCCUCACAGCUGUCGACCAUUCGGCCCUCGCGCCUCCCUCGUCUGCAAGCAGUUGCGCCGCCUCGUCUCCCGGAUUCCUUCGCCGCUUCUGAGCCCACCACCGGGAUUCUUUCCUCCUCGGCGUUUUCAAGAACGAGCUCUGCUACCCCAUCUUCAGAUCCGUCCUCGAUCGCGAGAUCUUAUCUCGCUCAACCAUUUCGCCCUGCGGCUCAACGGCGACCACGUCGCAAGCCUCCUCGGUUGCCACCACAGCAUCUUCUCAUCUUCAACUACAACACCCGUGAGUUCCUCGUGUGGAAUCUCGUUCGGCAAUCGCCAUAGCCGUUCCGUCGAAGCUCACCAGGGAGGGGUGGAGGGAGAAAUUCGUCAUGAACGGCGUGAUGCUUUGUGUUGCUGCUGUCAUCGGCGACGGCAGCCAUGUGCACGGCAGCGGCUUCUAGUCCUGCCGCUUCAAGGUGGUCUCUUGAUCCCGCACCCGCCGCCGCCAUCUUCGCACCUACUGUUACAGCCCCAGGUGCAGUUGGCGCCACCGGUCGUGGGGAAGAGAGAAGGAAGAAGACAGAUUGAUAGAAAACGUAACAGGAGUGGCACUGUCCCAAUUUUAUAAAAGUCCAGUGACAUUCAUCUAAAUAGCUGCAUAUACCAUGGCACGGACCUAAUUGUUUUUUUAAAAAAAAACGGAGCAAUGGCCUAAGUUCACAGAUGGCCCACACAGGCCCAUGUUCAUACAUGGCCCACGCUGGCCCAUGUGGCGCUGCGUGGAACAGUUGGCCCAAUUUCCAUCCCCAUCCGUGUCAAUAUCGAUACACCCUUCGCGGCGGCGGCGGCGGCGGAACGACGGCGACCGGCGGUCGAGCCGAUCGAAAGCAUCACCACGAUGAUGGCCGCAUCGAGAACGGCGUUCGCCUCCGGCGACCUACUUCUACUCACUGUCUCCUCCUCGGCGUCAAUCCUCACCCUGGCAAAAACCCAAGGGGCAGAAGCGGAGGGAGGAAGUUGCACUUUGAGGUAAACAGAAGAGUUGUAAUGGAGCUUUUCAGGUUGUAUUGAUUGCAAGGAGAAGACCUCUGUCACAGACUUACAUUCUCCAUCGGAAUCAUUAUGGUAAUACCUGAAGAGUACAGCCCUGCAGGAGCAAUUCUUUAAGCAGGCUUGCUUGCAGUCAUCUCUACUUUUUGCAUUGGUUAUAAUGCUGCCAUCAAAGUAAUAAACAUCAGUAAGAGUUAAGAAUU